UUGACCUCGGAUCAGGUAGGGAUACCCGCUGAACUUAAGCAUAUCAAUAAGACGGAGGAA
rnacentral:rRNA from 1 species